rnacentral:rRNA from 1 species
AUGCCGCCGUUCCAGCCCCUCCUCCUCCUUCUGUUUCUCUCUUCUUUUCUCCGGCUGCCGCCGCCGGCGGGUGCGGCAUGCUCGCCCAAGAGAUGCGGCGACCUGAACAUCAGUUACCCGUUCUGGCUGGAGGAGAACGGCCAGACACCGUGCGGGUCCCCGUCCUUCCAGCUCAACUGCAACGGCAGUCAGGCUCUCCUCAGCCGGUCCAUGUUCGGGGGCUACCAGGUCGUCCAGGUCUUCCCCGAGAACUCCUCCUUCGUCGCCGUCGACAACAACCUCCCGCUCGACGACGGCUGCCCCAAGUGGUGGUUCAACAUCUCUGUUGGCAUUGGGCUGGGUCCGUUCGUCAUCAGCAAGAAGAACAUGGAGCUGCUCGUACUCGACAACUGCACGGAGCAGCAGGUGACGCCGCCGGGGUUCAGCCGCACGCGUUGCGCCGACGAGUCCUUCUACCGCCUUGGCGGGGAGUACGGCACCCAUCUUGACUAUCGGGGGGAUCUGCCCCCGGCCUGCCGUCUCUCCGUCGUGCCGGUUCUUGGUUUUCCGGGCGGCGACGGUUACGUCCCGAGCAUGAGGCAAGGGUUCCUGCUUGAGUGGACGGUGCCGUCGGACGAUUGCCCCAAGUGCGAGGCAAGCGGCGGACAGUGCAGGUAUGCCAACGACGGCACCGGAUUUUCCUGCCAUUGCUCCGGCGACGUGUACCCUGAGAAGUGCGGGGACAGUGGAAAGACAAGUAUAAAGUUCAUAAUAGUUGGAGCGGUAGCCGGUUUUGCUGCAUUCUUGGCAUUUGUCUUAUUUGCUUUAUACCAACGAAAGAAGAGCAUACAAGCUGUAGCUUCAAAUGAGUUCACGCGAAGUGGAUCUUCAAUGACGGCAUACAGUAAAGACCUUGAGCUGGGUGGUUCACCUCAUAUUUUCUCUUUCGAGGAACUCGAAGUGGCUACUGAUGGAUUUAGUGCUUCAAGGGAGCUUGGUGAUGGUGGCUUUGGAACUGUUUAUAAAGGAAAACUCAAAGAUGGGAGAGUAGUUGCAGUAAAACGCCUCUAUAAGAACAACUACAGACGGGUUGAGCAGUUCCUGAACGAGGUAGAUAUCCUGUCCCGCCUGCUCCACCAAAACCUUGUCAUCCUUUAUGGCUGCACGUCUCGGAUGAGUCGUGACCUUAUCCUGGUGUACGAGUUCAUCGCAAAUGGGACGGUCGCGGACCAUCUUCACGGAUCCCUUUCGGCAAAACGAGGCCUCACAUGGCCUCUGAGGUUGAACAUUGCCAUAGAAACGGCUGAAGCACUGACCUACCUCCAUGCGGUCGAGAUCAUACAUCGUGAUGUCAAGACGACCAACAUAUUGCUUGACAACAACUUCCAUGUCAAAGUUGCAGACUUUGGGUUGUCGCGCUUGUUCCCACUGGAGGUCACCCAUGUCUCCACUGUUCCACAGGGCACACCGGGCUAUGUCGACCCGGUGUACCACCAGUGCUACAAGCUGACCGACAAGAGUGAUGUGUACAGUUUCGGUGUCGUGCUGGUGGAGCUGAUAUCCUCAAAGCCUGCUGUGGACAUGAGCAGGAGCCACAGUGAGAUCAACCUUGCCAACAUGGCUCUCAACAGGAUUCAGAACCAUGAAGUCGUUCAGUUGGUUGAUUCGGAGCUCGACUACGACACCGACCCCGAAACAAAGAGAACAAUUGACCUAGUGGCCGAGGUGGCCUUCCAGUGCCUGCAGAUGGAGAGGGAUCUGAGGCCGUCGAUCAAGGAGGUGGUGGAGAUUCUGACUUGCGUCAGGGACGGAGACUGUCGGGCUAAGAGCAUGAAGAAGAAGGCGUCUCAGAAAGAGGAUGCGCACUUGCUCAUGGAUGACCCGCAGUUUUCGCCUGACUCGGUCAUCCAUAGAUUCCAUAGCCAGUCAACUAAUAACUCGGUAGCAUCGAAUGCUAGCGGGUUAUGA